UCUCCGAAAAUAUUCCGCAUU
rnacentral:piRNA from 1 species